UAUUUCGUGAACAAAGUAUUCGGCCAACAUCAUCGCCAGGAACUGCAGAACCCCAGGAAGGCUCUGACUGCUGUUCUUGUCAAGAAAAGUGGAUUGGGUACCAAUGCAACUGUUACUUCAUUUCUAAUGAAAAAAAAACUUGGGCAGAAAGCAGGAACUUCUGUGCCUCUCAAAAUUCCAGUCUGCUUCAGUUGCAAAACAAAGAUGAAUUGAGUUUGAUGAUCUCCUCUACACAUUUUUACUGGCUAGGACUGUCUUACAAUAAAGAACAUCGUGCCUGGUUUGGGGAGGAUGGCUCUGCUCUCUCCCAAGAUCUGUUUUUACCCUCUCAAACCAUAAAUACACAGAACUGCAUAAUACACAGAAGAAGAAAUGUUCUGGAUGAACCUUGUGAAAAUAAAUUUCAUUAUAUCUGUAAGAAAAAGUAUAUUUAGGUGUUUCUUAGGGCAUAAGGGGUGUGCAACAAGGUUCAAUAAUACUAAGAAUGGUAAGUUUACCUCUUAUAUUAUUACUUAUUAUCUACUCCUAGGAUGUGCAACAUGUUUCAGAUUGUUGCUUACUAUACAAUUGUUUCAUAUAUGUGGAACCCUGUGUUUUAAGGUUGAUGAAAUUGUGUACCUAAAGGUAAAACUGUAAAGCAUCAAGGUAAAUAAUUUCAUGCAUAUUUUUAUUUAAUGCAUGUGUUCAAUACUGCAUGCAAUAUAUUCUUCCA